CUCAGCAGGCAGGAGUGACGAGCUGCCUGGAACCAGCAGCUGAGGCACCCAAAGACCCGGUGUCUCUAAACAGCUUCUAUGCUUCCUUCCCUAAACUGCACCAGUGCCUGCCUGGGCUGAGCAGCAAGAGAGACAUCUGUGAUAUCUGAUGACAAUCAUCUCUGAUUAGAGUGUCACUAUAUAGCACAGAUCAAGGAAAUAUUUUGAACCUCCAACCCUUUGAGAGUUUUGUGGACUUUUUUUUUCCAUGAGCUGCAUUUCUCAAAAUAAUAUAAUCGUAUCAUAUAUUAGAAAUAUAAAGAAAAUCUCAAGAGCAUCACUGGUCUCCGGUUUGCUUUGGAGGCGCGUUUUCUCACUUAUUUCGGAGAUUUGGGUAACUGAAUUUUUCUUCUGUUAGCCAUUGUCAUAUUACUUGUAAAUUUUCACUUUUGGCAUUCAAAUCAAUAACAUUUUAAUAUAUCUAUCUUCUUAGAAAUUGUUUUCACAAAAAUCUUGACUCAAAAGUAUAUAUUGGGCACUUACUGUGUGCCAAGUUCUGCAUUAGGUACAGGAAGCCAAGCAGCCAGGCAAGGGAAGCAAGACACAGAAAAUUAAUCUCCCCUCUCACUGAUCCCCAAACUUUGCUGGACAUCUUACAGGGGUUGUGGCAUUUGAUUGCCUUCUAUAUUGGUAGAUGUUGCUAGAUAAAAAAUAAAUAUGUUUUUUGAAAAAGGAAUAGGAAAUUUGUCCUUUCCCAUCCUAAUACUACUGUUGUUUCCUUAAUGGCCCCAAAAGAUAAAUAUUUUACUCAGAUGUAAACCAUGUGAACGCCUCAGUCAUUGGUAUAAGGUUUACCUAAGUCUUACAAAGAAAAAUAUCCCUAUCCUUAUGAAUACAUUGUAAAUAUACAAGAGUGAAUUAUUAUAUUUUUUAAAAUCUAAAUAGAUUUCUUUUUUAAUUAAAUAAAGCAUUUUUUCCUAUUUUCUUACCUUGAUAUUUUCAAUAAUUGGCAAAAAAUAUAUAGCAAUUUUAAAAUGGCAAUAUUUUUUCUCUGAUUUCCUUAGAACAUCAAAGGGGUAAGACUUGAUCAUUUGACUGGACAAGAUGAUGUACUUUUCUUUAAGGAAUGGAAGAUACUGAUUCUUUAAAACUUUUUUUAUUGUUAUGUACAAAAGACUAUUUGCAACAUAAAUUUGAAUUACAAAGCAUAAUAUUAAAAUGAACAGUGUGACCUUCCACCCAAUUCAAAACUAUGACACCACCAAAGCCUUUGACACCUCCACUCUGCCCCCAUUUCCAGCUCUUGAGGUAAUUUUAUCCUGAAUUUUCUAUGUAUACUAUUUUAUAGACUUUAAAAAAUAAAUUUGCUAUAUAUGUGUAUAUUACUAUGAUUGUUCAGUUUUGUUUGUUUUGAGACUUUAUAAAGUAGUACCAUAUCCUAUGUGGUCUUUUAAAACUUGCUUUUCUCAUUUCAUAUUAUUUCUCUGAGAUUCAUUCCGAACAUAUGUGCCUAUGUUUUUAUGUGUCAUUCAUUUUCUCUAUUGUAUAAUACUCCAUUUUGUGAAUAGAAGAUAAUUAUUUGUCCAUUACUUUGUCAAUGGGCAUUGAGUGGGUUCUGGUGUGUUGGCUUGUUCAUUUGCUAUUAUUACACACAACAGUGCUGUGAACAUUCUUAAUUUUGUCUCCUGGUGUGUAUAAGCAAGAAUUUCUCUAAUACUCAUUUUUUUCCUCCUAAAAAUUUCACUAAUGGCAGUGGGGGAUAUACUGGUACCCUUUUUCUAUUAAUAAAGCCCUAUUAAGUUCCACAAAUUAUUUUAAUUUAAAGUGAAAAUGAUAGUUUUGAAAGCAUAGCUCUGAUGUACAUAGGACAAUGGUAUCAUGACUCAACAGCUGGAAGAUAUAGCAUGGAUUGGCUCAUGAAGCCCUUGAACUGGGAGAGUGAACCAAGAUAAAAAUGUCAGAAGUUUCUGAACUGAAGGACCCAAAAAACUGCUCAAGGAAACCAUGCUGAAAGUGGCUUAGUUCCAUUUGCUAAAAGAGGUUGCAUUAAUAAGAAGGGGGCAUAAAAGGAAACAGAGUCAUUUUAUGCCACAUGAUUGUGGGAACUUCAUUUAAGCUACUCUUUUUGUUUUCCAAAAGAGCAUCAUAAACAAAACAAAACAAAAGGAAAAAAAUACUCAUAUGGUGUCAAUCUCCAGAAUAUUAAAUGAAAAUGCAUGUUUGGCAAAAUACCUCAGGAUUUUCUAAACUAUUAUCUCCCUAUAGUUUCACUAACAUGUUAACCUACUUAGAGCAAUUAGUGCUUCAUUAGUAAGGCUAACUAACUGUUGCCGGGCCCUGUAAUGAUUUGCCAGGCUUUCCAGAUACAAGUGCAUAAUCAAUGUUUUCCAAUUACUUCUAUAGUGCAACCACUAUUUCAAAUAAACUAGAUAAUAAUACAAACCCAUUACUGGAGCUGAAGUAGCAGAGGCAUUUAAUUGCUAGGCAGUUCUUCUCAGCUUUUAAAAUUUUUCACACUAAUGAAGUGUCAUACAAAAAAGUUGUAUUGAUUUUUCCACCACAUGGCUUCAACCACAAAUAUGUAAUUAUCCCUUUUAUAUCUAGCUGGGGGAUUAAAAUAAUCUAUAGUAUAUAGCCUUUACUUAUCCCUGAUGGGUUUAGUAGUACUUUUACCCUUUUCAAAAUAUGCAGCCCUUUGAUGAAUGAACUUUAGGCAAAAUGUUGCUUUAUCUGUUUCAAAUCUUUGCUUUUUAAAGUCAGUUUGUGUGCAGGCGUUAAAGUAUGAAAUCUCGAGCUUCUGAAACCUCCUAAAGAACACAUUCUGAUAUAAUUUAACUUACUGACUGCAUCAUAGAUAUUUUUCUCCACUAAAGAAAUCAACAUGGGUAUACAGUAUUGCACAUUAGCCAUGCCUACAUUUGCAUUUCACUGUACUUACAUUUUUAUUCAUAGCUAACAUUUUAUUAACCAUGUUAUAUUUUUACACAAAUAAAGUGUUCUCGGCAUUAAUUGGAGCCAAUUCUUUCCCACGUUUUCAGAAAAAAAAAAAACGUAAGAAUAAUCCACUGGCAUUAAAUUUCUUAUUUUCUCAUCACAGUUUGGUCAAUAAACGAGGGGGAAAAAGUAUUUUCUUUAUGAAAAGAGAAAGUCAUUAUAAGUAUAAAAUGAAUUUUGCAGAGAUCAGAUAUUAAUGCCGGGAGCAUAGGGCUUUUUAAAAAUUAGCCUGUCUUUCUUGAUCUUUUUACACAUAAAUUGGUUCCUUUCAGCAUUUUUGCUGAAAAUUCUUUUGGUUACACUUUAACAUUAUUUCAAUUAUGGUCAGUGUAAAAGUAGAUUCAAAAGGGUAAAAAAUACAGCUUAAAUGUCUGCAAGACCUUGUUCAUAACAUUCAUAUGUCAAAAACUGUAUCUCCCUAUAGUUUGAGUAACACGUUAACCUACUUACCACCCUGAGUUUUCCCAGACGCAAGGAUUUUUUAGAUUUCUUGCCUUUCUGUGUUUUGUGGUUUGAGGAAACAUUCACAGUCAAAUUAUAUUCCAAAGUUUGAAAAUUCUGUCAAGGUGACUGUGGAUAUUUUUUUAAAUAAGUCAACAUUGGAAAAUGGCAAAAAUUUAGUGGUGUAGAGAUAUAAACUUAAUUUUUUGGGUGACAUUUUAAACCUAGGUAUUUCAUGUUAACUUUAAAAUUUUUCCAAGCAGAGGAUUUAUGGAAAAACAAGUGACUAUAAAGAACUGCUUCAUACCAAGAAGAACAGGCUAAAAAUAAAAACAUCCAAAGUUACCAUGGAUAUGUAGAUCUCAAUAAUAAUUACAGUAUGUUUAAUCUGUUUUCAUAAAUGUUGCAAACAUUCCUUUUUUAAGUAUCAAUUUUAUAUACUGUGCUAUCGUACCAAAUUGUAAAAGAAGCAAACAUAAACAAGUAUAUUUUUAAAAUAAAUAAAACUAUGAAUUUAAAGGCCAGUUAUGUAUAAUAUUUGCAUCUAACAUCUAUGGAAAAUAUCUUUCAUGGUAGAGGUGAGAUCUGCAGAUGGAGGGUAAAGGCAAAUGAAAAAUGGGUAAAGUAGGGCAGCUUGGAUACUAAGGAAAGCUACAGUUUAUUUUUAAAUUAAUUCACACACAUAAUGUUUUAGUAUUGAUUUCUUUUUAAAAAUGCCCUUGGAUUUAUUCUACAUGAUUCUUCCUAUAUGGAGGAUUAGUGUCCCUGGCCUUCUGUUGUUUGCUUUUCUUAUAUUUUAAAACAUUGGUCUAAUCAUCUUUAGGGAUCCAGAGAAGCAGUGGUCAUGUCCACGCUGGAACAGGUCGAGAGGUGAUAUUCCUUCUAAUGUAACAUACACUAUUAGUUUCAACCUUGAUUUCCACAUGCUAUGUACAGUAUACAUGCAGCCUUAUGUGGUGGUAAAAUACAAGUAAGAAAUAUGACUGUAUCAAAAACAGAUUAUCGUCAGGAAUUGUGAGAAAGAUAAAAAGUGGAAUUUCUGUCAAGAAGAAAGAAUGAGAUGAGCUCCGCACUAUGGAUUUCAACUCUCCAGUCUGCAUGUGACUGGGAGUGGUGCAUGUUUCCAAGAUACUAAAACGCCAUUACCUUGACCGUCGACAUGAAGCGAUCAGAGUCAUAUUUAUUGAUGAAACCCUCAGCUCCCAACCUGCCGCACUGAGUGUGCAUCAUACAGCUGUCAGCAGAGCCAGGGCACCACAGCGAUGAGUGCUUGUGACAUUUCCCUUUCAUAAUUUAUGAAAACAAAAGAUCUUGAAGUUUGUAGGACACCAGAGUAAUUUUAAAAUAGUCUUCACGAAGGCUAUAUUGUGGUCCGUACAAUAAGCACUUUCCUGGCUUACGGUUUUUAGGAGAAUCAAUUGCAAACCAAAUUAGAACCAUAAACACGGCCAUUAUUUAAGGAUUCUAAUCCUGACAUGAGGGUUACAAGUACAACCAGCUAUUUAGGGUGGUGGUUAAUUACCAUCAUGCCAGAGCAUAAUUCUCUUCAUCGUGUGUGAUGGUUUCACCUACACAUGAUUUCACAGGGGUUUUAUGAGUUUAAGACCCUAAAAAUCCACUUAAGUAUUUUACUUCUUCAAGGUAAUAUUUUUCAUCUGUGACACUGCUUGGUAGCUAAAAGAGAAAGCAUUAUUUAAAACUAAAAACUUUAAGCAAAGAGCAAAAGGAUUGAGUCUUCCAUACUAUUAUAUUAGAUUUGAUUGAACAAGUCAGUAAUGACCAUGAACUGUAAUUU
rnacentral:lncRNA from 10 species